AUUAAACGCUGGCGGCAUGCCUUACACAUGCAAGUCGAACGGCAGCACGGGGGCAACCCUGGUGGCGAGUGGCGGACGGGUGAGUAAAGCAUCGGAACGUAUCCUGGAGUGGGGGAUAACGUAGCGAAAGUUACGCUAAUACCGCAUAUUCUGUGAGCAGGAAAGCAGGGGAUCGCAAGACCUUGCGCUCUGGGAGCGGCCGAUGUCGGAUUAGCUAGUUGGUGGGGUAAAGGCCUACCAAGGCGACGAUCCGUAGCGGGUCUGAGAGGAUGAUCCGCCACACUGGGACUGAGACACGGCCCAGACUCCUACGGGAGGCAGCAGUGGGGAAUUUUGGACAAUGGGCGCAAGCCUGAUCCAGCCAUGCCGCGUGAGUGAAGAAGGCCUCGGUU
rnacentral:rRNA from 1 species